GGAGAGGUGGCAGAGCGGCUGAAUGCGACGGUCUCGAACACCGUUAUACUCUAACGGGUAUCCAGGGUUCGAAUCCCUGCCUCUCCG
rnacentral:tRNA from 1 species